GAUGAACGCUGGCGGCGUGCCUAAUACAUGCAAGUCGAGCGAACAGACGAGGAGCUUGCUCCUCUGACGUUAGCGGCGGACGGGUGAGUAACACGUGGAUAACCUACCUAUAAGACUGGGAUAACUUCGGGAAACCGGAGCUAAUACCGGAUAAUAUAUUGAACCGCAUGGUUCAAUAGUGAAAGACGGUUUUGCUGUCACUUAUAGAUGGAUCCGCGCCGCAUUAGCUAUUUGGUAAGGUAACGGCUUACCAAGGCAACGAUGCGUAGCCGACCUGAGAGGUUGAUCGGCCACACUGGAACUGAGACACGGUCCAGACUCCUACGGGAGGCAGCAGUAGGGAAUCUUCCGCCAUGGGCGAAAGCUUGACGGAGCAACGCCGCGUGAGUGAUGAAGGUCUUCGGAUCGUAAAACUCUGUUAUUAGGAAAGAACAAAUGUGUAAGUAACUAUGCACGUCUUGACGGUACCUAAUCAGAAAGCCACGGCUAACUACGUG
rnacentral:rRNA from 1 species